UCAACAUCAGCAGUAACACCGGAGUGCACAUUAUGGACGACACCGGGGCCGAAGUCGAUGAAGAUAAUCGAAGGUGAAGUGUUAGAUGAGCAGUCGGACAUGAAACGGAAAGUUCGCGAUGGUGCUGCACCUUCAGGAGCACUUUAGUGAGGAAGAAAGUAGCAUGGCGCUUAAAAGCAGCUCUGCACAAAAUACUCUGCAGGAACAGUGACAACCACAGAAGAGCCAGAGACAGUUGAGAAAGUAAGUGGCCAGGCACUGAACGGUCAUUUAACUUGCCUGAGGAUCGGCUAGAAGGUGACAGCUGUAGAGAGGCUAUUGCCUUAAUGAAACAUGCGACAGUCCGGGCCCAGGUCAUCUCAAAGAUGAGAUCAGCCUUCAAGUACAGGCAGCAAUCAAUCCAUGAUGCAGAGCAGUCGACUACAGCACUUGAAGUGUGUCCGUGGUUUCUGGAUGUGAAGGGCCUGGUUCUUCAAGACUUUGAAUUGCUUUUUGGAAUGGAGACUUCAUCCAAGAUUCUGGAGACGUGGGACACAUUCUUCAAGACCAAACUCGUCAGAAAGCCAAGAACAUUACUCAGAGUUAUUGCUGAGCUCACUUAUCCAGUCUGCCGCGAAUAUUCAUGAUCCAAGCCUUGAAGAGCACAUCAAUCAGACUGAGGAGCGACAGUCCUACCUUCUGGCAGCUGGAACAGCAAAGAACAGCAUCCAUGACUUCUACAUUGUACUGGAUGGUCAGCUCUUUCCUUGUCAGGUGAGGUCUUCCCUGUCAGUUUUUGAUGAGCUUUUUAAAAUACAUUCUGCGUUUGGCAUCUCCUAUGAUGAGUCAUUUGACAAAGUAUGUACUCUGUAACAUAGACCACCAUAUAGAAGUAUAU